UUUUUUUAUUGGAGACUGGGAUGAAAGGUAAAGACUUUAAAGGAAUGUUUUAUUUAAUAAAUUUGAAAUUUAAUUAAAAGUAAAAAUGCUUUUAUUAAUUUUUGGGACGAGAAGACCCUAGAAGCUUUGUAAUGUAUAUAAAUUUUCAUAAUUGUUUUAUUUAUAUAUAUAUUAGUUGGGGCAAUAUUUGAAGAGUAAGAUUUUUAAAUUAAAAAAGGAAAAGGGAUUAAGUUACUCUAGGGAUAACAGAGUUAUUUAAUUUAAGAGUUCUUAUUAAUAAUUAAGUUUACUACCUCGAUGUUGAAUUAAAU
rnacentral:rRNA from 1 species